UUUAGAAUAAAUAUUAAAAAUAAUUCCUGCCCAGGGAAAUAAAUUUAACGGCCGCAGUAUCCUAACUGUGCAAAGGUAGCAUAAUCAUUUGCCUUUUAAUUGAAGGCUAGAAUGAAUGGAUAAACGAAAUUUUUCCUGUAUCAUUUUUAUAAAAUAUAAAUUAUAUUUUAGGUGAAAAUACCUAAAUUUUAAAGAAAGACAAAAAGACCCUAUAGAAUUUAAAUAUAUUUAACAAUAAACUAUUUUAGUUGGGGCGACUAAGGAUUAUACAAAACAUCCUAAAUAUAAAAGCUUAUAUAAAUCAAAUUAUAGAUCCUAUACUUAUAGAAUUAAAAACAAAACUCCCUUAGGGAUAACAGACUUAUCUUUCUUUAAAGUUCAAAUUUACAGAAAAGAUUGGCACCUCGAUGUUGGCUUAGAGUAACCAAAUGAUGAAACAGUCAUUUAAGGUUAGUUUGUUCAACUAAUAAUUCUCU
rnacentral:rRNA from 1 species